rnacentral:rRNA from 1 species
AACGAACGCUGGCGGCAUGCCUAACACAUGCAAGUCGAACGAGACCUUCGGGUCUAGUGGCGCACGGGUGCGUAACGCGUGGGAACCUGCCCUUAGGUUCGGAAUAACUCCCCGAAAGGGGUGCUAAUACCGGAUAAUGUCUUCGGACCAAAGAUUUAUCGCCUUUGGAUGGGCCCGCGUUGGAUUAGCUAGUUGUUAGGGUAAAAGCCUACCAAGGCGACGAUCCAUAGCUGGUCAGAGAGGAUGGUCAGCGACACUGGGACUGGGACACGGCCCGGACUCCUACGGAAGGCAGCAGUGGGGAAUAUUGGAAAGUGGGCGAAGGCAUGAUCCAGCAAUGCCGCGUGAGUGAUGAAGGCCUUAGGGUUGUAAAGCUCUUUUACCCGGGAUGAUAAUGACGGUACCGGGAGAAUAAGCUCCGGCUAACUCCGUG